AUUUCAGUGUAUAAACUACAAAAACAUUCGUUUGCAUUAUACAUUCGCCAUUUUACUCUGCAGCCGCCUGGUUUUCGUCCCGUUAGCUCUCUCUGAAAAAAAAUCCCGCCUUUACGGUUAUAAUUUUUUUGUGAGCUUUUACUUCACUUCCUGUCAACAACAUGGGAAAAACAAGGAAAGUCUCCACCACUGAGCGAAGGACAUCCGUCCGGCUGUCGCAGAAAUCCGCACCCAUACAACCGGAGAAGAAAAAGGUCGCUGCAAAGAAGGUAACCGGCAAAGCAAAGAAGGUCAAAGCCACCGAAAAUGGGAGCCCCAAGGCCGAGGAGGCAAAGGCCGAAGCAACCGAAACCAAAUGAAUAAGGGUUGAAGCGCUCCCUCCGUGUACUUGGUGAUUGUACAGUUUUAAAUAAGUAUUUUUUACCAAGUUUUAUAUUACACAUGUCUAUUAUAGGUUUGUUUUGGGCUUGCACUUAAUGUAACAAAACUUUGUCACAGUCAUAUCCAUUAAGAAUAAUUACCGUCCAUAUCUCGUAGACGUGUGGCAUUUCUAGUUUGUCUAAUUUCCGUUUUUUUUUUUUUGUUUACUGCUGAGUAAUAGAUAUUUUUCAACAAGUCUGGUUUUGAAUCUAAUUUUAAACAUUAUAAGGCAGCUAAAGCAUAUUGUUAAAAUGUAGGGAGAGUAGGAGUGUCUCUUGUUCUCUUCUUGUAUUUUAAUGUUAAACUAAUGAAGGAAAAAAAAAAAAAAGAGAUUGCUUACCAAAUGUUUUGAAACACUGUAUGUUGACAUGAGUUAUAGUAAUUAAACAAAAUGCCACAGAAAAAAAAAAUACUGUAAUUAGGUCAAAAGUUUGACAUAUCCCAAAAACAUGUAUGUUGUGAACGCGGUCAUAUAAUGAUGAAAAGUUAUCUUAAGUUAUGUUUCUGUUUAGCGGAAAGGAAGCUUUUCUGAUUCAAUGUUUGAUCUAAAUGUUCUUAAAUAAAAAGAAAAUGUCAAAAUGUC